GUUGACCUCGGAUCAGGUAGGAAUACCCGCUGAACUUAAGCAUAUCAAUAAGCGGAGGAAAAGAAACCAACAGGGAUUGCCCCAGUAACGGCGAGUGAAGCGGCAACAGCUCAAAUUUGAAAUCUGGCCCCCCGGCCCGAGUUGUAAUUUGCAGAGGAUGCUUCUGGCGACGCGCCUUCCGAGUUCCCUGGAACGGGACGCCACAGAGGGUGAGAGCCCCGUCCGGUCGUGCGCCUAGCCUGUGUGAAGCUCCUUCGACGAGUCGAGUAGUUUGGGAAUGCUGCUCUAAAUGGGAGGUAUACGUCUUCUAAAGCUAAAUACCGGCCAGAGACCGAUAGCGCACAAGUAGAGUGAUCGAAAGAUGAAAAGCACUUUGAAAAGAGGGUUAAAUAGUACGUGAAAUUGCUGAAAGGGAAGCGCUUAUGACCAGACUUGGGCCCGGUGAAUCACCCAGCGUUCUCGCUGGUGCACUUUGCCGGCCCAGGCCAGCAUCAGUUCGCGCCGGGGGAUAAAGGCUUCGGGAAUGUAGCUCCCUCGGGAGUGUUAUAGACCGUUGCGCAAUACCCUGGGGCGGACUGAGGUACGCGUUCUGCAAGGAUGCUGGCGUAAUGGUCAUCAGUGACCCGUCUUGAAACACGGACCAAGGAGUCGUCUUUGUAUGCGAGUGUUCGGGUGUCAAACCCCUACGCGUAAUGAAAGUGAACGUAGGAGAGAGCUUCGGCGCAUCUCCGACCGAUCCUGAUGUUCUCGGAUGGAUUUGAGUAAGAGCAUACAGGGCCGGACCCGAAAGAAGGUGAACUAUGCCUGUAUAGGGUGAAGCCAGAGGAAACUCUGGUGGAGGCUCGCAGCGGUUCUGACGUGCAAAUCGAUCGUCAAAUAUGGGCAUGGGGGCGAAAGACUAAUCGAACCUUCUAGUAGCUGGUUUCCGCCGAAGU
rnacentral:rRNA from 1 species